UUUGCCUGUGGAAAGGGGAGUGGAGUUAAAGUGGGAGCUAGAGAACUUAAGAGAUUCUAAGUCCUGAAGAAUCAGUUGCAGAAAUUACGAUCCCUGCCCUCACCUGCUUUGGUCCAGGUUUUCGUCAUAUGCUGUCUACAGUAUUAUCACUGUCUAGAUUGGUUUCUAUUGUUGAUCCACAGUUCUUUUUAUCAGUUGAGGUACUGCAAAGUGCACCAAUUUUAAAUGUACAGUCCAGUGAAUGUUGACUUGGAUGUACACCCCUGUGAGCUCCACCAUGCAUCUCCAGCACCUCCAAAAGGCUGCCUCAUCCCCUUCCUUGUCAACACCAAACCCCCAAAAGGAUGAACUACUCUAACUUCUACCACCUUCGACUGCUUUUGUCAUCUUGAAUGUAAUUGAAUAAAACAGUAUAUACUUUUUGGUACCUGGUUUCUUUGCUCAACAUAGGGCAGUGAGAUUCAUUGACUCUGUGGCAUAAAACAGUAACUUACUCUUUUGUAUUGCUGUGUGAUAUUCCAUUAUAUGAAUAUAUUACAGUUUGGUUAUUCAGCCCUCUGUGGAUGGACUUUUAGGUGGUUGUCAGUUUUUGGUUAUUGUGAUAAAGCUGC